GCCCGGGUAGCAUAACCUGGAUAGUGCAGCGGACUCCUAAUCCGCAGGUUGUGGGUUCGAAUCCCAUCCCGGGCG
rnacentral:tRNA from 1 species